rnacentral:rRNA from 1 species
GACGUAGGGCGCGAGCGUUGUCCGGAUUUAUUGGGCGUAAAGAGCUCGUAGGCGGCUUGUCGCGUCGAAUGUGAAAACUCGGGGCUCAACUCCGAGCUUGCAUUCGAUACGGGCAGGCUAGAGUCCGGUAGGGGAGACUGGAAUUCCUGGUGUAGCGGUGAAAUGCGCAGAUAUCAGGAGGAACACCGAUGGCGAAGGCAGGUCUCUGGGCCGAUACUGACGCUGAGGAGCGAAAGCGUGGGGAGCGAACAGG